AGUGCGAAUGCUGACAUGAGUAGCGAUAAUGGGAGUGAAAAGCUCCCACGCCGUAAGCCCAAGGUUUCCUGUUCAACGUUCAUCGGAGCAGGGUGAGUCGGCCCCUAAGGCGAGGCAGAGAUGCGUAGCUGAUGGGAAGCAGGUUAAUAUUCCUGCACCGUCGUAUGAUGCGAUGGGGGGACGGAUCGCGGAAGGUUGUCUGACUGUUGGAAUAGUCAGUUUCUGGUUCAUAGAAGGUGCUUAGGCAAAUCCGGGCACGUA
rnacentral:rRNA from 1 species